UUCUGCGUGUGCAUGCACCUGCCGCGCCCCAUAGCGCUCAACCGCAACACUCAUUCCCUGGGCCCGCAACACUCAUUCCCUGGGCCCCAUAGCGCUCAACCGCAACACUCAUUCCCUGGGCCUGCUAAGUCGGCAUGGUGUUUUCCUAACAACAGUAAGAAACCCACAUAGGCGAAUGAGUUUCAAUGCAGCUCCUUGGUGGCUUCUCGCCGCACCUCACAGCCAUUACACUCCGUGGCUUGCUAUAUCUAUAUUGCUAUAUUCGCCCGAGAUGCCUCGAAGUACAGUGCUGAGCCCCCCAAAUAUUGCGCCGUCCGCACGUUCCCCUACCAAAACCCACCCAUACUGCGGACGCCUCCUCUUCCGAGACGGCAACACCAGCACCCCUCUUAAAUCCUCACUGGUGCCGGAAAACCUUGCCCCUCCACAGCUGAGGGCGUCUUGUGUUACAGCAUUAUUGUACUUUGACUGUGCCAUCGCUGCUGUCGAUAUUAAAAAAGGAAAUACCCAGCAGGUGCGGCUU
rnacentral:lncRNA from 1 species